AAUGAACGCUGGCGGCGUGCCCAACACAUGCAAGUCGAACGAGAAAGUCCUUCGGGGCGAGUAAAGUGGCGCACGGGUGAGUAACGCGUAGGCAACCUACCCUCGGGACCGGGAUAACAGUGCGAAAGUGCUGCUAAUACCGGAUACGAUCCUUUGGCGGGAGCUGGAGGGUGAAAGUCGGCCUCUCGAAGAAGCCGAUGUUCGAGGAUGGGCUCGCGGCCUAUCAGCUAGUUGGUAGGGUAACGGCCUACCAAGGCGAUGACGGGUAGCUGGUCUGAGAGGACGACCAGCCACACGGGGACUGAGACACGGCCCCGACUCCUACGGGAGGCAGCAGUGGGGAAUUUUCCGCAAUGGGCGACAGCCUGACGGAGUGACGCCGCGUGGGGGAUGAAGGCCUUCGGGUCGUAAACCCCUGUCGGAGGGGAAGAAGGGUGCUGGCGCGACAAGCGCUAGCACUUGACGGUACCUCCAGAGGAAGCCUCGGCCAACUCUGUGCCAGCCGCCGCCGUAACAC
rnacentral:rRNA from 1 species